UGCCGAAUCGUCUAACGGUAGGACGCAAGACUCUGGAUCUUGCUAUAUAGGUUCGAAUCCUAUUUCGGCAACCA
rnacentral:tRNA from 1 species